rnacentral:siRNA from 1 species
ACCGACAUUUGACUUCGUUUAGU